rnacentral:rRNA from 1 species
GUGCCAGACUCCUACGGGAGGCAGCAGUGAGGAAUAUUGGUCAAUGGGCUAAGGCCUGAACCAGCCAAGUCGCGUGAGGGAAGACGGUCCUAUGGCUUGUAAACCUCUUUUGUCGGGGAGCAAAAGACGCCACGCGUGGCGUUCCGAGAGUACCCGAAGAAAAAGCAUCGGCUAACUCCGUGCCAGCAGCCGCGGUAGUACGGAGGAUGCGAGCGUUAUCCGGAUUUAUUGGGUUUAAAGGGUGCGUAGGCGGAAGGUUAAGUCAGCGGUCAAAUGUCGGUGCUCAACACCGGCCUGCCGUUGAAACUGGUCUUCUUGAGUGAGCGAGAAGUAUGCGGAAUGCGUGGUGUAGCGGUGAAAUGCAUAGAUAUCGCGCAGAACUCCGAUUGCGAAGGCAGCAUGCCGGCUCCACACUGACGCUGAGGCACGAAAGCGUGGGUAUCGAACAGGAUUAGAUACCCCAGUA